rnacentral:rRNA from 1 species
UACGUAGGGACCGAGCGUUAUCCGGAAUUAUUGGGCGUAAAGAGCUCGUAGGCGGUUUGUCGCGUCUGCUGUGAAAACUGGAGGCUCAACCUCCAGCCUGCAGUGGGUACGGGCAGACUAGAGUGCGGUAGGGGAGAUUGGAAUUCCUGGUGUAGCGGUGGAAUGCGCAGAUAUCAGGAGGAACACCGAUGGCGAAGGCAGAUCUCUGGGCCGGUACUGACGCUGAGACGCGAAAGCGUGGGGAGCAAACAGG